AGUUGAGGCUUGGCUUUCGACAGGCUGAAAUUGAGUAUUCAUUACACACAUUCAGGAUUAAGUAAAUUACCACUCAUUCCCUGUGGACUUUUCUCCAUUAUAUUCUCACAUCUUGGCCGUCUGUGCUUGUGUGCCCACUCACCCGUCCCCUCUCUCUCUCUCUCAGCUGUUCAGCAGACACAGCUGGUGGAGAGUGGUGUAAUCCCCAGGAUGGUGGCCAUAAUGCAACAGUUUCCUGAGAAUGACCCGCUGGUAAACGUCUGCCUGCUGGCACUCUGCAACCUUGCUGAUGUGGUGACUGAUUGUGGUGGUGGAGGUCUUGACCUAUCAGCUGAAGCGGGCACCAGAUGCAGAACACCGGCAUCUCAUACUAGAGGUUCUUGGGUCACUGGGAGAAAUUGAUGCUCUGAAACUGCAGUUUGUGGAACAGGCGUGCCCGGGGCGCUCUCUGAAAUGAUUCGAACUCUUCAGGGUGGCUCUGACACACAUGACCUCUGCAGCAUAAAAGUGGGCUUAAACCUCAUAGUGACCCUGCUACUCAGA